ensembl:lncRNA
CGAGGUUGUUUUCGGAUUUGCAUUGAAAACCUGAAUGGCUGAUUGAGGUGUAAAUCUAUGGAAAGCUGCGUUUAAGCCUCCUCACCCGCUAAGUCCGCCUGCCCCGGGAAGAUAGGGCCUAUCGGGACUCACCAAAGUGGAGGGCCGCCUCUGCCCUCCGCCCGGCAGAGCCUUAUCGACAGCCGCUCUCCGGCAUCACUUUAUUGCCCGCGACGAGCCCGGCCCUUGAUGGCGAUGAAAUUAACUCGGAGGCUGAAGCGCGUGGGAUCGAUACGGGGGCGCGGGCCCCGGGACGGGCGGCAGAUGGCCGCGGCCCGACGGCAGCGGGGCAGUUGGGGGCUGCGGGGCUGCGGCCCUCGGCCCGGGGCAGCUCCUAUAGCUGGGCGGUGAGAGCCGCCCUCAGCCUGCCUGCCCGCUGCCCUUCGUGUUUAGCGUGCCCGGCCGAGGUUACUGCCCCAGCCGACGUGAAAAGAAAUGCGGACGUUGGUGCCCUGGUAUUGCUCUGAUUUCCUCGGUUAGCUGAGCACAACUUUCUAUUCGUGUUUAUUCAUGCAGUUUCUCAUUGAGCUCCACAUCGCGCUGCCCUGGAUUCUGCGUGCGGUGAGAGGACGGACAAACGUCGCCUUUUUGCGGAGCGCACAGACACGCGGAGCCCCGAAUGCAUCUGUGGCCCCGAGCCGCCCUGCAGGGACGCACAGAACUCUGAAGGUGUUCGCGGAGCAGAGGGGUCGCGGGUUGGGCGAGAAGAGCGAGGCAGAAGGGCGAUGGAUAAAUGAAGGCUCCAUGGAAAUAUCCGGGGCGGAAAGCUCAGAGCUGCGCCCGGAGCAGCUCCGUAUGGCCCUUCGCUGAGAAGAAAACUACGCUGGAAGUCACCGUUUACAGUAUCUAAAGGCAGCCUGCGAGUGACUUUAAUCCCAGCCCUAGCUAUUAGAGGAGGUUUAGCUCUCCUGCAAAUAUUUGCUUUUUUGUCCCCAUAGAAACAUCAUUAGGAGAAGUUCAUUUAAUAAUAAGGUCAAUUAAAGAGUAUUUUUCAAUGAGUGGAGGAAAAAUUGCUUUCCUACAGGAGCAGCCUCUCCAGCAACCCCUGGCAACAGCAGCGCGGCGCUGCGGGGCAUCGCCACACGG